rnacentral:rRNA from 1 species
CUACAUAUCAAUAAGCGGAGGAAAAGAAACCAACAGGGAUUGCCCUAGUAACGGCGAGUGAAGCGGCAACAGCUCAAAUUUGAAAUCUGGCGUAAGCCCGAGUUGUAAUUUGUAGAGGAUGCUUCUGGGUAGCGGCCGGUCUAAGUUCCUUGGAACAGGACGUCAUAGAGGGUGAGAAUCCCGUAUGUGACUGGCUUGCACCCUCCACGUAGCUCCUUCGACGAGUCGAGUUGUUUGGGAAUGCAGCUCUAAAUGGGAGGUAAAUUUCUUCUAAAGCUAAAUACCGGCCAGAGACCGAUAGCGCACAAGUAGAGUGAUCGAAAGAUGAAAAGCACUUUGGAAAGAGAGUUAAAAAGCACGUGAAAUUGUUGAAAGGGAAGCGCCCGCAACCAGACUUUGCGGCGGUGUUCGGCUGGUCUUCUGACCGGUUUACUCGCCGCCGUGAGGCCAUCAUCGUCUGGGACCGCUGGAUAAGACCUGAGGAAUGUAGCUCCCUUCGGGGUGUGUUAUAGCCUCUGGUGAUGCAGCGCGUCUCGGGCGAGGUCCGCGCUUCGGCAAGGAUGAUGGCGUAAUGGUUGUCGGCGGCCCGUCUUGAAACACGGACCAAGGAGUCUAACAUCUAUGCGAGUGUUCGGGUGUCAAACCCCUACGCGUAAUGAAAGUGAACGGAGGUGGGAACUUUUUGUGCACCAUCGACCGAUCCUGAUGUCCUCGGAUGGAUUUGAGUAAGAGCAUAGCUGUUGGGACCCGAAAGAUGGUGAACUAUGCCUGAAUAGGGUGAAGCCAGAGGAAACUCUGGUGGAGGCUCGCAGCGGUUCUGACGUGCAAAUCGAUCGUCAAAUUUGGGUAUAGGGGCGAAAGACUAAUCGAACCAUCUAGUAGCUGGUUCCUG